GACGAUUCUCCUGUGCCGCCAGGGGAGAGUUUCCCACGGUUCUCGCCUUGAGACUGUGGCCACUGAGCGGGGACCUGUGAGAGGAACAAGAAGCUGCUGGCUGUGCCAGAAACAGGUUAGAUUCUGGGCGUGUGGGGAACAGGUUAGAUCCCAGGUGUGCGGGGCUGGGACAGAGUAAGCAGGGGUGUGGGGGAAGUGGGGGUGUGAGGAGGGCUCUAUUACAUAUAUGUUUUACUAUAAAUGUGGGGGGAAAUUUUGCUUUCUUAUCUGCUGGCACCAAAAUUUUUCUUACAGGCGGGAUCGAACUUCUUUUUAAGAGCACUUUUUCAUCAACUGCUUAAAGAGAAGAUAAAACUUUGAGCACCUGAAUAAUUAGGAGCCAAGAUGAUAAAAACAAACAAACAAACAAAAAACAGAAUAAAAGAAAACAGGUGUUUGGUCAGAGAGAAAAAAGAAGAGGAAAAACCCCGGAAGGGGAGCAGGAGGAGAAGCAACACUUGGGGAACAGGAAUUUCUCAUGUCUGAGUUUUUUGCAUUGGAAAUCUAGAUCUUUCUGUCUUCCUAAACCUUCUAAGGAAAGUCCAUAUAAAUAUCUUCUGUGGAAGGUUUAAUUUUAUUUCUGUAUUGUCCAAAUGAAGAAAAGGGACCCCUUUCCUGUCAGUGACACAAUAGCAAGGAGAGGAGAGGAUUUUUAAAUGAACGAAUUCAGCAGAAGCAGAGGCUCAGAGCUGGAGAAAAGCAUGAAAAUGUAAGCUUUUUAGGUCUCAGGAAUCUUGCAGAGGACCUUGGGCUUCCCUUAUAAAAGGUUGAGUCAUUCUGCCCAGGAUGUUGAGGGGACAGGGCCACAGCUGAUGUGUGGGUGACCCCUUAGCGUGGCUCAGUAUAAUCAGACAGCACCUAUACUUUAUUGGUUUGUAAUUGCAUAGAUUUUGAGUUUUCUUGUGCAAUAUCACCUUCAUAUUUCUUCAUAUUUCUGUGGUCUCGUCAUCUGUCUCUUGCUAUCAAGAAAAAUGACUGGCUG
rnacentral:lncRNA from 1 species